CCUACGGGAGGCAGCAGUGAGGAAUAUUGGUCAAUGGGCGGAAGCCUGAUCCAGCCAAGUAGCGUGCAGGAUGACGGCCCUAGGGGUUGUAAACUGCUUUUAUACGGGAAUAACGCGCCUUACGUGUAGGGCUUUGCAUGUACCGUAUGAAUAAGGACCGGCUAAUUCCGUGCCAGCAGCCGCGGUAAGACGGAGGGGCCGGGCGUUAACCGGAUUUAUUGGGUUUAAAGGGAGCGUAGGCGGCAUGUCAAGCGUGCUGUGAAAUGUCCGGGCUCAACCCGGGCCCUGCAGCGCAAACUGGCGUGCUUGAGGCCGCGGAAGGCAGGCGGAAUUCGUGGUGUAGCGGUGAAAUGCGUAGAGAUGACGAAGAACCCCGAUUGCGAAGGCAGCUUGCUGCAGCGGAACUGACGCUGAUGCUCGAAAGCGCGGGUAUCGAACAGGAUUAGAUACCCGAGUAGUC
rnacentral:rRNA from 1 species